rnacentral:rRNA from 1 species
GCCAUUCCACGGCUUCUGUGACGAAGCUAACGCAUUAAGUUCCCCGCCUGGGGAGUACGGUCGCAAGACUAAAACUCAAAGGAAUUGACGGGGGCCCGCACAAGCGGCGGAGCAUGCGGAUUAAUUCGAUGCAACGCGAAGAACCUUACCAAGGCUUGACAUAUACAGGAAACGUGCAGAGAUGUACGCCCCGCAAGGUCUGUAUACAGGUGGUGCAUGGUUGUCGUCAGCUCGUGUCGUGAGAUGUUGGGUUAAGUCCCGCAACGAGCGCAACCCUCGUCCUAUGUUGCCAGCACGUAAUGGUGGGAACUCAUGGGAGACUGCCGGGGUCAACUCGGAGGAAGGUGGGGAUGACGUCAAAUCAUCAUGCCCCUUAUGUCUUGGGCUUCACGCAUGCUACAAUGGCCGGUACAAAGGGUCGCGAAACCGCAAGGUGGAGCCAAUCCCAAAAAGCCGGUCUCAGUUCGGAUUGGGGUCUGCAACUCGACCCCAUGAAGUUGGAGUCGCUAGUAAUCGCAGAUCAGCAACGCUGCGGUGAAUACGUUCCCGGGCCUUGUACACACCGCCCGUCAAGUCAUGAAAGUCGGUAACACCCGAAGCCGGUGGCCUAACCUUUUGGAGGGAGCCGUCGAAG